rnacentral:rRNA from 1 species
AUACGUAGGUGGCAAGCGUUGUCCGGAUUUAUUGGGCGUAAAGCGAGCGCAGGCGGUUUCUUAAGUCUGAUGUGAAAGCCCCCGGCUCAACCGGGGAGGGUCCUUGGAAACUGGGAGACUUGAGUGCAGAAGAGGAGAGUGGAAUUCCAUGUGUAGCGGUGAAAUGCGUAGAUAUAUGGAGGAACACCAGUGGCGAAGGCGACUCUCUGGUCUGUAACUGACGCUGAGGCUCGAAAGCGUGGGGAGCAAACAGGAUUAGAUACCCUGGUAGUCCACGCCGUAAACGAUGAGUGCUAAGUGUUGGAGGGUUUCCGCCCUUCAGUGCUGCAGCUAACGCAUUAAGCACUCCGCCUGGGGAGUACGACCGCAAGGUUGAAACUCAAAUGAAUUGACGGGG